rnacentral:rRNA from 1 species
GAUACCCUAUUAUACUAAAAAAGUGAAUAAUAGCUCAGAUUAUUAAUAGAUAUGUUCUUUAAAUUUAAAGAAUUUGGCGGUGAUUUAGUCUUGUCAGAGGAACCUGUUUUUGGAUCGAUAUACCACGCAGAAUCUUACUCGUUUUUGUAAUAAUAUUACAGUUUAUAUACCGUCAUUAGCAGAUAAUUUUAAAAGAAAUAAUUAUUGUACUUUACAAAGUUAAGUAAAAUUAGAUCAAGGUGUAGCUUAUAGGCGAGUUAAAAUGGGUUACAAUAAAAUUUAUUUAUAACGGAGUAACUAAAGGAAGAAGUAGCUUUAAAGGAGGAUUUGAUUGUAAUAUAAGUUUAGUAUGCUUAGGAGAUAUAAGCUCUAAAUCAUGUACAU